AUCCUAUUUGGCAGCACAUAUACUAAAAUUGGACUGAUACAGAGAAGAUUAGCAUGGCCCCUGAGCAAGGAUGACACGCAAAUUCAUGAAGUGUUCCAUAUUUUU
rnacentral:snRNA from 1 species